rnacentral:rRNA from 1 species
AGUAACACGUGGGCAACCUGCCUCAUAGAGGGGAAUAGCCUUCCGAAAGGGAGAUUAAUACCGCAUAAGAUUGUAGCUUCGCAUGAAGUAGCAAUUAAAGGAGUAAUCCGCUAUGAGAUGGGCCCGCGGCGCAUUAGCUAGUUGGUGAGGUAACGGCUCACCAAGGCGACGAUGCGUAGCCGACCUGAGAGGGUGAUCGGCCACAUUGGGACUGAGACACGGCCCAGACUCCUACGGAAGGCAGCAG